AACCCAAUAUCAGAGACCAAGCGCAACCAGCUAGCUAGCUCAACAGUGGGCUAAGUUAAAACAACACAGCCACUUCCGAAAUUUAACAACACAGCGCCACUCACUCCGCCGGUUCUUGCCGUAGCAGACAUUCGGGAAAUCUGCUCCCUCGCCGGCCACGACACCUCCUUCUCUAUUAGGAAGUAGUUGAGAAAAUUACACAACCAAUUCUGGAUGCCCUUGGUGAAAACUGUUCUAUUUAUUGUGAAGUGCUUAUGGAUCAGAGUUAAUGCAAACACCGGAUUCAGAUGCUUAUGACUUGACUGAUUAUGCUAAAACAGAUGUAAGCUUUAAGUUUUUGUUACAAAUGCUUUCAUAUAGUCUCUCUUGAUUAAUCGCAUGCCAUUUCCUUUCGAUGCAAAGUGUUAAUUUUAAUUACUUUUUUUGGAAAAGGAAUAUGUGAGGGAGAAUAACUGUAAAUCUGCAACAAAAAUAUAUUGCUGAGAAGAUUUCCGAUUUACUCAAGAUAUUUAUAACCUUUUUAUCAUUGAGUUUUUAUCAGCUUAGUGUGUUUAUCUCAUUUUUUGUUAACA